GAUGAACGCUGGCGGCGUGCCUAACACAUGCAAGUCGAACGGAACUAUUUUGGAAACUCCUUCGGGAGCGGAAUCUUUAGUUUAGUGGCGGACGGGUGAGUAACGCGUGAGCAAUCUGCCUUUAAGAGGGGGAUAACAGUCGGAAACGGCUGCUAAUACCGCAUAAAGCAUUGAAACCGCAUGAUUUUGAUGCCAAAGGAGCAAUCCGCUUUUAGAUGAGCUCGCGUCUGAUUAGCUGGUUGGCGGGGUAACGGCCCACCAAGGCGACGAUCAGUAGCCGGACUGAGAGGUUGAACGGCCACAUUGGGACUGAGACACGGCCCAGACUCCUACGGGAGGCAGCAGUGGGGAAUAUUGCGCAAUGGGGGAAACCCUGACGCAGCAACGCCGCGUGAUUGAAGAAGGCCUUCGGGUUGUAAAGAUCUUUAAUCAGGGACGAAACAAAUGACGGUA
rnacentral:rRNA from 1 species